GGAAGAACAGUGAUUGGCCAGACUUUAAGGGUUAUGAAUCCCACGGACCAAUCACUGUAUGAGUGGAGGGGAGCAACCGCUGUGAUUGGCCAAGCCUGAGUCACAUGUCCAUCCCUGUGUCCUGGCAGUAGAAUAAGGCAAUGGCAGUCCCAGCAGUAUCGCAAGCUGAGAGUUGAGGAGGCCUGAGUAUUUCCUCAUCCUUCUAGCCCGACUUUGUCCUGGGCCCCUCAGAGGCCAGCUAAUGCAGAUGGAGCUCCAAGGCUGUGGGCAGCAUUGCGUGAAACUCUGCUUGGAACAGAAGAGCAAGAGAGUAAGCUUCCCUGAGCAGGGGAGAGUAGGUGGGGAGGGGUCAAAGGGAAGGAACAGAGACAAAGCAAGAUUCAGAGAACUCAGAAGAAGCAGGAAAUUGGAGCCAGAGGUGACUCAAGGAUGCAUAAGCCCUGGAAUUACCAGAAAUCAUGAGGAGGGCAUCAGCCACUAUCUUGGCUUCUAAUAUCAUUUUCCAAUAAAAGGAACCAGGGCUCUUUACAGAACAUAAGGGCUGGAGCAAGAAAUAUACGAGAUGAGCCUGGAGCAUCUUGUAGCACCGGAAAAUAGGAAAGUGCUCAACAAAUAUAAAAAGCCCCACAGGUUGUGCCACCAUCACCACUGUCUGGUUCCGGAACAUUUUCAUCAGCCCCGGAAGAAACCCUGUCCACGUUGACAGUCACUGCCCCGUCUCCCUUCCUCUCAGCCUCUACAACCAUUAACCUACUUUCUGCCUCUGCGUGUUGACCUGUUCCGGACGUUACAUAUAAAUGAAUCACAC
ensembl:lncRNA